GACUGACACGUUGCCAUGGGCAGUGACAAGAGAUGAUGCUGGGGGAUGCAGUGAACCUGGCCACUUUGAUCCUGUCCACCUCCUCAUCCUACCCUGGCAGCAAGCACUGUGUCUGGGGACGGAAACGCCUGCUGGAAUCUGCUCUCUCCGCUAAGCCUUGCUCAGGUACCUGGCCAAGGCACAUCAGUGUCUACCUGGAGGAAAGGAAUCCAGCUGCGGGAGAAGAAAAGGGCAGUAAAUCAGUCAGCACCCAGCCAGGAGAGCAUAAAUUUAACAGUUCUGACCGUGUGAAAUCAUUCUGCACCCAAACAAAAGGCAGCUUCGGUGUCUAUUCAUCUCCCCUAGACGGGGUCAUGCUCAGGGGCUGCCUGCCUCUGGCUCUGUGGUGACGGCACGAUCAAAAGCUGUAUUGCUAAAAUACGGAUCACCGUGGUGUGCACCUCUACGAGCACGGAGCUAAGCAGCUGGAUGUCAUGGUUUAUACUGCUAGAUCCAAAUCGUGGAUCAGACUAAACACUGCCUCUGCCACCAUCAAUGAAUCACUUCUAGAUCCCCAGGAAGUUGCCAGGGCUUGAGCUUCAGAAGUUUGCUGCCGCAGGACACUAAAAUACUGUGGAAGACAAAGCAAGGUGUGGCAGGUUUUGUGGGGAUUAUCCUGCCCUGCGCUGGGCUGGGGCUGGAGGUAGAUGAAAGCUGGGG